AUUGAACGCUGGCGGCAUGCUUUACACAUGCAAGUCGAACGGCAGCGCGGGGGCAACCCUGGCGGCGAGUGGCGAACGGGUGAGUAAUGUAUCGGAACGUAUCCUGUAAUGGGGGAUAACCAGUCGAAAGAUUGGGUAAUACCGCAUACGCACGAGAGUGGAAGGUAGGGGAUCGCAAGACCUUACGUUAUAGGAGCGGCCGAUAUCUGAUUAGCUAGUUGGUGGGGUAAAGGCCUACCAAGGCGACGAUCAGUAGCUGGUCUGAGAGGACGACCAGCCACACUGGGACUGAGACACGGCCCAGACUCCUACGGGAGGCAGCAGUGGGGAAUUUUGGACAAUGGGCGAAAGCCUGAUCCAGCCAUGCCGCGUGCAGGAAGAAGGCCUUCGGGUUGUAAACUGCUUUAGUCUAGGAAAAAGGGGUGCGAGGUUAAUACCCUCGUGCUUUGAUGGUACUGGAAGAAUAAGCACCGGCUAACUACGUG
rnacentral:rRNA from 1 species